rnacentral:rRNA from 1 species
UACGUAGGCGGAAAAUUAAGUCAGUAGUGAAAUCCUGCAGCUUAACUGUAGAACUGUUAUUGAUACUGGUUUUCUUGAAUUUAGUUGAGGUAGGCGGAAUGUGUAAUGUAGCGGUGAAAUGCUUGGAUAUUACACAGAACACCGAUUGCGAAGGCAGCUUACUAAGCUAUGAUUGACGCUGAGGUACGAAAGCGUGGGGAGCGAACAGGAUUAGAUACCCUGGUAGUCC